AUGGUUUCGGUUUCAUCCUCUCCGCCUCGUCGGAUCGUCGUGCCUGCACCAACCUGCCCAGCUCCAUGGUUAUUUCCCUGGGAGGAUUUCCUGCUCUCACGCGGUCCUCAGCCUCCAGUUCAGCCGCGCGCUGCUCAGUCUCCCGUUCAGCCGCGCGCUGCUCAGUCUCCAGUUCAGCCGCGCGCUGCUCAGUCUCCAGUUCAGCCGCGCGCUGCUCAGUUUCCAGUUCAGCCGCGCGCUGCUCAGUCUCCAGAUCAGCCGCGCGCUGCUCAGUCUCCAGUUCAGCCGCGCGCUGUUCAAUCUCCAGCUCAAUCGUGCUUUGCCCAGUCUCCAGCUCAAUCGUGUUUUGCCCAGUCUCCUGCUCAAUCGUGUUUUCCCCAGUCUCCAGCCCAAGUUCCAGACGCCGCGGCCCCGUUUCACCAUGCGGAUCCCGGUACAGAGGUCCGGUCCACACCGCGCCCAGCGCCUCAAACGACGGACAGUCGCAGCUGCUCCGGACGGCGACGGCGGCGGCGCGGGUCCAGGAUCCCGGGUCCCGCGGUCUCGGUCAUGGGGACCGAGCAGCCUUCUUCCCCGACAGAGGAGCCCCUUAAUUCUCUGACUGACUGUGUCCCUCUGAUAACAGGCAUCCCAGACAGCGUCGCCCGACGGGUCCACCUCCUCUGCUCUCCUCCAGUUGCCUUUCUCUUCGCCCACCUCAUGAACACCGCCAAUUCGGCUACAGACCAGGGCGCGAGAGAACAACUGUUCGAGGAAGCAGCCGCUCUCGUCCGGAGGGAGCCUGUCCUGCGUGAGGCCCUGCAACUCCCGGGCCUGCAGCCAGCGGUCGCUUCAUGCCCCACCUCUCAGUCAGGUCAGCCGUGUGUUACCCAUGCCCCGGUGCAGCCCUGUCGUCUCCAGGUCCCAGCCCAGUCGAACCUAGUCCAGACCCCAGAUCAGCCGUGUGUUGCCCAGACCCCAGAUCAGCCGUGUGUAGCCCAGACCCCAGAUCAGCCGUGUGUUGCCCAGACCCCAGAUCAGCCGUGUGUUGCCCAGACCCCAGAUCAGCCGUGUGUUGCCCAGACCCCAGAUCAGUCGUGUGUUGCCCAGACCCCAGAUCAGUCGUGUGUUGCCCUGACCCCAGUUCCGUCCUUGUCCCCGUCAGAGGGCGCCGUCCGUCUGACGACUGUUAACCCCACCCAAUCAGGCCCGACGUCUCCCCCGUCGAGCUCGGCAGCUGUAAGCUGUCAUGCCAGCUCCGGAGGGGACGCCACUCCAGUCCCUGUCGGCCAUGUUGCGGCCGUUCUAGUUCCUGUCGGCUCCUCAGAGGAGGACGCCGUCCCUGUUCCCGUCGGCCAUAUUGAGGCCGUUCUAGUUCCAGUUCCUGUCGGCUCCUCAGAGGAGGACGCCGUUCUAGUUCCUGUCGGCCAAGUAGAGGUCGUUCCAGUUCCUGUCGAACCGUUAAAGGUCGUUCCUGUCCCUGUCGGCCAUGUUGAGGUCGUUCCAGUUCCUGUCGGCCAAGUAGAGGUCGUUCCAGUUCCUGUCGAUCCGUUAAAGGUCGUUCCUGUCCCUGUCGGCCAUGUUGAGGUCGUUCCAGUUCCUGUCGGCCAUGUUGAGGUCGUUCCAGUUCCUGUCGGCCAUGUUGAGGUCGUUCCAGUUCCUGUCGGCCAUGUUGAGGUCGUUCCAGUUCCUGUCGGCCAUGUUGAGGUCGUUCCAGUUCCUGUCGGCCAUGUUGAGGUCGUUCCAGUUCCUGUCGGCCAUGUCGAGGUCGUUCCAGUUCCUGCCGACCAAAUUGAGGUCGUUCCAGUCCCUGUCCCUGCCGACCAAAUUGAGGUCGUUCCAGUUCCUGUUCCUGUAGGCCAAGUAGAGGACGUUCCCGUAGGCCAAGUAGAGGGCGUUCCCGUAGGCCGAGUAGAGGGCGUUCCCGUAGGCCAAGUAGAGGGCGUUCCCGUAGGCCGAGUAGAGGGCGUUCCCGUAGGCCAAGUAGAGGGCGUUCCCGUAGGCCGAGUAGAGGGCGUUCCCGUAGGCCAAGUAGAGGUCACCCCUGUCUCUGACCCCGUUCCUGUCGACCCUGUAGCGGUCGUUCCAGUCCCCGUUCCUGUCGACCCUGUAGCGGUCGUUCCAGUCCCCGUUCCUGUCGGCCCUGUAGCGGUCGUUCCAGUCCCCGUUCCUGUCGGCCCUGUAGCGCCAGUCGCAGUUCCUGCGCACCUCCAGGAGGAGGUUGCGCCAGUCGCAGUUCCUGCGCACCUCCAGGAGGAGGUUGCGCCAGCCGCAGUUCCUGCGCACCUCCAGGAGGAGGUUGCGCCAGCCGCAGUUCCUGCGCACCUCCAGGAGGAGGUUGCGCCAGCCGCAGUUCCUGCGCACCUCCAGGAGGAGGUUGCGCCAGCCGCAGUUCCUGCGCACCUCCAGGAGGAGGUUGCGCCAGCCGCAGUUCCUGCGCACCUCCAGGAGGAGGUUGCGCCAGCCGCAGUUCCUGCGCACCUCCAGGAGGGAGGU
ensembl:lncRNA